rnacentral:rRNA from 1 species
UAGGGAAUCUUCCACAAUGGACGCAAGUCUGAUGGAGCAACGCCGCGUGAGUGAGAAGGGUUUCGGCUCGUAAAGCUCUGUUGUUAAAGAAGAACGUGGGUAAGAGUAACUGUUUACCCAGUGACGGUAUUUAACCAGAAAGCCACGGCUAACUACGUGCCAG